CCUACGGGGGCAGCAGUGGGGAAUAUUGGACAAUGGGGGCAACCCUGAUCCAGCCAUGCCGCGUGUGUGAAGAAGGCCCUCGGGUUGUAAAGCACUUUCAGUGAGGAAGAACGCCUGGUGGUUAAUACCCAUCAGGAAAGACAUCACUCACAGAAGAAGCACCGGCUAACUCCGUGCCAGCAGCCGCGGUAAUACGGAGGGUGCGAGCGUUAAUCGGAAUUACUGGGCGUAAAGCGCGCGUAGGUGGCUUGAUAAGCCGGUUGUGAAAGCCCCGGGCUCAACCUGGGAACGGCAUCCGGAACUGUCAAGCUAGAGUGCAGGAGAGGAAGGUAGAAUUCCCGGUGUAGCGGUGAAAUGCGUAGAGAUCGGGAGGAAUACCAGUGGCGAAGGCGGCCUUCUGGACUGACACUGACACUGAGGUGCGAAAGCGUGGGUAGCAAACAGGAUUAGAUACCCGUGUAGUC
rnacentral:rRNA from 1 species